rnacentral:lncRNA from 1 species
AGGACCAGGUGCCACCUCCUCUGGGAAGCUUUCCCUGCCCGUCCACAGGGUAUGCCUCCUUGUUCCUCUCCUGCCAUCGGUUUACGUGCCUGUCUCCAUCAACAGACCAGGAGCUCCUGAGGACAGGGACUGAGUCUGCCUGAUUCAUCUCUGCAUUCCUAGCACUUACCUUGGUGCUUAGUGAAAGCUCGAACCUGCCUGGGUUCCCACCUUGUCUCUGCUACCCCCAGCUCUGUGAACUCAGAGUCAUUUUUCUCUCCCCGAGUGGCACCGGGCUCAGCAGACACUCUGGCCAUGAAGGCAUCUUCUGACUCAAGCAGGCUGGAGUGCAAUGGCGUGAUCUCGGCUCACUGCAACCUCUGCCUCCCAGGUUCAAGCAAUUCUCCUGCCUCAGCCUCCCGAGUAGCUGGGAUUAUAGGCAUGCACCACCACGCCCAGAGCCAACUACUAAGCCUGUAGCAGCCUCCCAAACUGCCCAGUCUUGUUCAGAUGCACCUCCAGAAACACAGGGGUCCAAAAUGCCCCUUCCCAGACACCCUGAGGAGUAGAACAGUGCCAGCAGGCUCCAGGGAUGAGGGACUAGCUACCACAUUCCCUUUCCCAAGCCUCAGUUUCCCCACCUGUAAGAUGAGGGAUAUGGGCUCUGACUUUCUGAGUUUGGAAAAUAAAGUGCUCCCCAAACUGG